UAGGAGACCUUUAUAGAUGGGAUGAGAUGGAUCGUAUCUCGGUUUAUUGAUCCUAAGUAUAUGUAUUAGGAUUCAGUUGGAUUUGAGGUUGAUUAGGCCCUAAGUAUAUGUGUUAAGACCUAAUCGAUAUUAAACUCUAUGUAUUAGAGUCUAAUUGGUUCAUGAGAUAUGGGUAUGAGAUCUGGGUAUUGGUUCAUGGGAUUUGGGUAUUGGUUUAUGAGAUUUGGGUAUCGGUUCAUGGGCUAUGGGUAUUGGUUUAUGAGAUUUGAAGAUGAUUUGGUUCAUGGCUCAUAGAAUUUGGCCUAUGGUUAAUGAGGUUGGGUAUAUGGUCCAUGGGAUUUGGUUCAUGAGGUUUAGUUGUGGUUCAUGGGAUUUGGUCCAUGAGGUUUAGUUUUAGUUCAUGGGAUUUGGU
rnacentral:lncRNA from 1 species